GGCUGGGCGAGAGGCAGCCCCUGGCUGGUGCGGCAGGCACGACCUCCCCCCUCACCUCACAUGCCGCGAGCGUCGAGUGCCGGGUCCUAAAGUCUCCUCUACAACCUCUGGGCUCGAAAUCUGGACACAGGUAUAUUUAAAAAAUCCCGUUAUGGUUCUGUCUUUACUCCUUUUGAGAGUCAUCCUUUUCCCCCUGCCCACAGAAGGAAUUCGGAGAUAAGACCUAUUAUUAUAGUACGCUGUCCAGACACGACAUAACCUUGGGUACGUGGGUGCCCUCUCUCUCCCUCUCUUUCCUAAACUAAGGGGAAAAAAAAGUGUGGAGUCUUUGUUGACAUGUGCCAGCUGGAUAAAGAAAAUAAUACUAAGAAAAAUAAUAAAUAAAAAAUUAUUUUUUAUUAUUUUAUAACAUUAUUAUUAUUAUUAUUAUUAUUGGUACUGAAAAUUGAAUCCAGGAGCACUUUACCACUGAGCUACAUCCCCAGUAUUGGUUUAUUGGUUUAGAGACACAGUCUCACUAAAUUGCUGAGGCUGUCCUGGAACUUUGGAUCCUCCUGCCUCAGCCUCCUGAACUGCUUAGAUUACAGGUGUGUGCCUUCAUGCCCGACUAGGCAUUGUUUUUAAUCUCCACUUUCAGAUGAAAAAAAAAAAACCAAGCUCAGAUACUGGAAGCAGCAUUAUGACUUCAUGUCAGAUUGUGUAUCAUCCAUUAACAAAUAUUUAUAGUUCUCUCGUUAAUGUGUGUAAACUGCUAUUCUGGGCACUAGACCUACAACCAUGCACAACAACAGGUAGAUUCUGAUCUUAGUCUGGAGUCUAGAAGUUUCUAAGUCCCAAAUCUGUUAGGGAUGUGCUAUGGGAUCAACUCUGGACUUAGUAUCUCCUCCCUGGAGUCCACAUUUACCAAAAUGGGUCCUAGGUCAGUUUUUACUGGACUUUCUUUGUUGAUGGGAAAUAUUGCGUUUGAAGUACAGACAAGGAUUGGGGGUGUAACCCAGUGCUAGAGUGCUUGCCUAGAGAGCAUGCACAAAGCUCAGAGUUUGAUCCCUGGCACUGAAGGAAAGAAAAGGAACUUGGCUCACUUCUGACUUCAAAUAAAAACCAAGUUGAAUCAAUUAAACAUCACAAAGGACAGAAAAGCUAGUAGUAGUAAAAUUCAUCAUUAAAUAAUUUUUUAUAAAAGCUAGAUUCUUUUCUUCAUAUUAUUAAGAAAUGUAAAAACUGGGGAAGAGCUCGAAAUCCCAGCUACUUGGGAGGCUGAGGCAGGAUGAUUGAAACUUUCAAGCCACCUGGACAACUUAGUGAGACCUGUCUCAAAAUAAACUUUGAAAAGGGUUGGGCAGGUACUUCAGUGAUAGAGCACUUGACUAGCAUCCACAAGCCCCUGGGUUCAAUCUCUAGUACCUCUCCCCCCACACACACUAAAGAAGCCACAUGUCCUAGUCAACCACCAGCCCUAUGGCAAGACAAUUUGACAAUCUUCUCAUCUCUACUCCAGUCUACCCCUACAGAACCUUGACUUGGCUUCACCUAGAGACAAAGUGCUGCUUUUACCCACAGAACAUUAAUAGCCUUUGGGUACAUUUGGAAGGAGGAGGAGAUAAUUUAUGAGGGGAUCUAUGAUGCUCUUGUGAUGCCACAUGCUCCUUCUUUAUCCAGCUGGCACAUGUCAACAAAGACUCUACACUUUCUUUUCCCUUAGUUUAGUUUUGUUUUUUGAUGCUGGGGAUUGAAACCAGAGGUACUUUACCACUGAGCUACAUCCUCAGCCCUUUUUAUUUAUUUUUUCAUUUUGAGACAGAGUCUUGCUAGGCCCUCGAUAAACUGCUGAGUCUGGUCUCGAACUUGUGAUCCACCUGUCUCAGCCUGCUGAGUUGCUGAGAUUACAAGUAUGUGCUGCUGCACCUGAUGAGACUCCACAGUUCUGUAUCUGUCAUGAAAAUACAAAUUAGAUACUGGAAAAUUCUUUAGUAGAAUUUUUAAAGUAGUCAUGGCAAGGGCUCCUCUUGUCACUUAUUUGGACAGUGAGUCAACAAGCAUUUACUGAGUGCCACCAAGGUCCAGGCCAUGUGCUAUAGAUCAGGUAUAGCUUCCCCAAGGAGCUGGUAUUCUGGUUGAGGAGAUAGAUGGCAGUCAAGGAGUCCUGUUCAGCUCCAAGUUACCCUUCUGGAAAGUUCUGAAGCAGAAGAGGGGUCCAUGAUAGUGAGUGAGAAGGUAUUUGACCCCUUCUCUGGAUUGCAGUCAGAGCAGGUUUCCUGAGCUAGGUAAAGGCAGCAGGAAGAGAUGAGAGAGUGUUCUGGAAAACAUACAAUAGUGCAAAGACCCAGUGGCAGAAAGAAGUUUGGUCCUUCCAGGAACAGAGGGGGGUCAGUGUGUCUACAGGGAGAAAGCCUGAAGGGCAAGGUGGGAGGGAGAGCCCCCAGGGGUGAACCUGGCUUCAGGAAUCCAGGGCUCUGAGGCCUAGGUUCUGUGCCCUGGAGGGCUCCUCAAAGUUCACAGCAAAUAAAAUAUAACAGAUCCUAAUUUUCUGCAGAAGGAAGGACAAGAAAAGGAAUAGUUAAAAAAAAAAAGUCUCCUGAUGUGUACCUGAGAUGUUCACUGGGAAUAUCCAAAAUAAAAUAGCAUCAAAACAGAUGUUAUUUUAAAUAGGAUAUUUCAAGAAGUGAGUGGGUGACAGACUGUGAACUCGCCCAGGAACCCUGACUUUGCAGUGUCGAAUUGGAAUCACACUGCAUGUGGAAUCCAAGAUCUCGUUCUAGACUUCUUGAUACCUCUGAGCCUUGGUUUCCCCAUAGGAACAAUAAAACUUGCAGACCUCUGUUGCAGGAUGGCUCUGAGGAGCCAGAGAGAUUAUCAGCAUUAAAGGGCCAACGCCCCUCCCCCUCCCCCGCACAGCCUUCACACAGUGCUACCCUUUGUUCUAUAUUCUUGUUUUGCAUUUACUGAGAUCGAUGCAUGCACGGCACCAUGUAGAGUUCUCAGGAAUUUUCACUUCAGGCCAACGAGGUCGGUGCUAUUAUUAUCAUUUUCCCGGGGCUCAGGCAGGUCAAGUCACGCUUUAAGCGCAGGCGCAUGACUGGACAAGCACACUGACUUCCUGAUGCUCAAGAGGAAUACUCCAGCGCCCAGGAACAGCCUCAGGAACCUGACCUAAGGAGACGUUUGGCUAUAUGGACAACUUGUCGGACGUGCACCAACGGGAAGCCCAACCCGUGGGAUUUUGAACCCAGACGAAGUCACUAUCUACAACUGCAGCCCAGGAUCAGGACCUGGCGUUGCUGUAGGUGCAGGGCGCAGGGCUCCCCGAAACCUUGUCGCUGGCGCGCAGGUGCACCUACCUGCGCAUGCGCGGCCGGCGCCUCUGCAGAGCUGGGUGCGCGCCAGCAGCUGGGGGGCGGGGGAAGAAUCCUGAGAUCUAGGGGCCGGUCACGUGACGGCGGGAGUCCUCCUGGUGAGCAGAUGGAUGCGGGUAGAUACUAGGGGAAAGGACAACUUGAGAGGGAUCUGUCCAGAAAUAUGCAGAAGAACAAGAAGUAGUCUCGAACCAGAAAAAAAAGAGGAGCUGGUUGCGGCUGCCUUCGCCAGGCCUACUGAGCCACCUACCUGAAUGCUUGGGCCCUCACACACGCUGGGUGCCUUGGAGAGCCCCGAGUACAGGGUUUCGGCCACUUCUCCCACUUUCCUCCCUUCUGCUUCCAACGACGGCCCCCAGUGCUAGGGAUUGAACCCAGGACCCUGGGAAGGAAAGCUUUCUACAGCAGAGCCACAUCCCUAGGCUUCCGCCCUUGUGCUUUUAAGCUACAUCAUCAGCCUUAUUUUCCCAUGCUCAUCUCCCACCCGCUCUUCCUGACCUCGGAGCCAUUAUAGAUCCCCUACACUCUUUUAGGAGCAGUUACAAAAGAAUUCUAACAAUAUUUAUAAAGUACUUUACCCAAUACUGGGAACCUGGUGUGAAUUCAGCAGAAUGUUACCUAUUAAUAUCAUUGUUAAGGAAUGACGCAUCUUGAGGCAGAAAUUGGUGCAAAAUAUGUAUGAGUUCUGUAUGCUAAAUAUGUAUGAGAGGGGCUGGGGAUGUGGUUCAAGCGGUAGCGCGCUCCCCUGGCAUGCGUGCGGCCCGGGUUCGAUCCUCAACACCACAUACAAAGAGUGUGUCCGCCGAAAACUAAAAAAAAUAUAUAAAAAAAAAGAACAGAAUAGAGUUUAAAAAAAAAUGAGCUGGAGAUGUGGUUCAAGC
rnacentral:lncRNA from 1 species